rnacentral:rRNA from 1 species
GACGAACGCUGGCGGCGUGCUUAACACAUGCAAGUCGAACGAUGAAGCAAAGAAUCGAAGCUUCAGCAGAAAUUCAUUUCGGAUUAGUGGCAGACGGGUGAGUAACGCGUGAGCAACCUACCUCUUACAAAGGGAUAGCCUCGGGAAACCGGGAUUAAUACCAUAUAACAUUGUGACGAAGCAUUUCGAUGCAAUCAAAGCUACGGCGGUAAGAGAUGGGCUCGCGUCCCAUUAACCGGAUGGUGAGGUAACGGCUCACCAUAGUGACGAUGGGUAACCGGCCUGAGAGGGUGAACGGUCACACUGGAACUGAGACACGGUCCAGACUCCUACGGGAGGCAGCAGUGGGGAAUAUUGCACAAUGGAGGGAACUCUGAUGCAGCGACGCCGCGUGAGUGAUGAAGGAAUUCGUUUCGUAAAACUCUGUUCUAUGGGAAGAAAAGGACUGUACCAUAGGAGAAAGCUCCGGCUAAAUACGUG